UACGUAGGGUCCAGGCGUUAAUCGGAAUUACUGGGCGUAAAGCGUGCGCAGGCGGUUGUGUAAGCCAGAUGUGAAAUCCCCGGGCUUAACCUGGGAAUGGCAUUUGGGACUGCACAGCUAGAGUACGGCAGAGGGGACUAGAAUUCCUGGUGUAGCAGUGAAAUGCGUAGAUAUCAGGAGGAAUACCGAUGGCGAAGGCAGGUCCCUGGGUCGAUACUGACGCUCAUGCACGAAAGCGUGGGGAGCAAACAGG
rnacentral:rRNA from 1 species